CAGUCGCCACGGUAAUACGUAGGUGGCAAGCGUUGUCCGGAAUUACUGGGCGUAAAGCGCGCGUAGGUGGUUUGUUAAGUUGGAUGUGAAAUCCCCGGGCUCAACCUGGGAACUGCAUUCAAAACUGACUGACUAGAGUAUGGUAGAGGGUGGUGGAAUUUCCUGUGUAGCGGUGAAAUGCGUAGAUAUAGGAAGGAACACCAGUGGCGAAGGCGACCACCUGGACUGAUACUGACACUGAGGUGCGAAAGCGUGGGGAGCAAACAGGAUUAGAUACCCGCGUAGUCCCUGUCUCUUAUAC
rnacentral:rRNA from 1 species